rnacentral:rRNA from 1 species
AGAUUGAACGCUGGCGGCAUGCCUAACACAUGCAAGUCGAACGGGAGUAGCAAUACUCUAGUGGCGGACGGGUGAGGAAUACGUAGGAAUUUGCCCUUAAGUGGGGGAUAACCCGGGGAAACCCGGAUUAAUACCGCAUGACCUCGAAAGAGCAAAGUGGGGGAUCGCAAGACCUCACGCUUUUGGAGAAGCCUACGUCGGAUUAGCUAGUUGGUGAGGUAAUGGCUCACCAAGGCGACGAUCCGUAACUGGUCUGAGAGGAUGAUCAGUCACACCGGAACUGAGACACGGUCCGACUCCGUACGGGAGCAGCGAGGUGGGAAUAGUUGGACAAGUGGGACGCAAGCCUAGACUACCGAGCAAGUCGGACCGUCGUGGUGGUA